rnacentral:rRNA from 1 species
CUACGGGAGGCAGCAGUGGGGAAUAUUGGACAAUGGGCGAAAGCCUGAUCCAGCCAUGCCGCGUGUGUGAAGAAGGUCUUCGGAUUGUAAAGCACUUUAAGUUGGGAGGAAGGGCAGUAAGCUAAUACCUUGCUGUUUUGACGUUACCGACAGAAUAAGCACCGGCUAACUUCGUGCCAGCAGCCGCGGUAAUACGAAGGGUGCAAGCGUUAAUCGGAAUUACUGGGCGUAAAGCGCGCGUAGGUGGUUUGAUAAGUUGGAUGUGAAAGCCCCGGGCUCAACCUGGGAAUUGCAUCCAAAACUGUCUGACUAGAGUAUGGCAGAGGGUGGUGGAAUUUCCUGUGUAGCGGUGAAAUGCGUAGAUAUAGGAAGGAACACCAGUGGCGAAGGCGACCACCUGGGCUAAUACUGACACCUGAAGGUGCGAAAGCUUGGGGAGCAAACAGGAUUAGAUACCCUGGUAGUCC